UACAGAGGUCCCAAGCGUUGUUCGGAUUCACUGGGCGUAAAGGGUGCGUAGGUGGUGGGGGUAAGUCUGAUGUGAAAUCUCCGAGCUCAACUCGGAAAUGGCAUUGGAAACUACUCUGCUCGAGGGUUGGAGGGGGGACUGGAAUACUUGGUGUAGCAGUGAAAUGCGUAGAUAUCAAGUGGAACACCAGUGGCGAAGGCGAGUCCCUGGACAAGCUCCUGACACUGAGGCACGAAAGCUAGGGGAGCAAACAGG
rnacentral:rRNA from 1 species